UACCAAAAGACCAGAUUCAUAGUUAAAGUAAGAAAUAAUCCAAAAAGCCUUGAGAAAAGUGCGAACAUGAUGUUUUUGAUGUUUAUAUCGGUUUGGAGUAUUUUAAUUUGUACUUGGGCGUGGAUGACUGUUCAACAUUUUUCAUCGCAAAUGGAAUAAGGAAAUCUUUCUGAAGAUUUUCUUUUCGAUUUAAUUAAACUUUAUCCACCGUUUGCCGUUUUCUAUCAACACUCGUCAAAACUUAGAAAAACAAAACUCAUCAAAGAAGAAACUACAUCAGUUUUUGAUAACAAGUUCUUAUUUAUUUGUUUUCAUAUUUUAUUUUACAUGAAUUAUGCGAUAACAAUAUGUAUCAUAAUCAACUAUUAAUUAAGUAGUAUAUUGUAUUUUAAAUAUAAUAUCAUAGUUACCUAUAACUUUUAUAAAUGCUGUCAAAAAAAAUAGAGAAUAAAAUAUUAUAAUAAAAAAAUAUUGGCUUCCUUCUUAAAGCAGUAAAGAAAUUCAAUAAGACACAUGUCAUUGCUAAUUGAAUAUACAUUAUAGUAAAUAGAAAAUAUCAUGAUAGAUUUACAAAAUACAUCUAAAAAUCAACUAGACUGAUACGAUAUGUAGGUAUAUAUCUUAGAACAGGUUAAGAUUAGUAGCAGCAACUAAUUGUAUGUUUAUGUAUUGCUAUGGUUAAUCGCGCAGGAACAUUUUUCUACAUAUUGUUUCAACAUUUUAGUAAAUUCCAAUAAAUAGCAGUAAAUUUUAUUUUAAUUCUGAGUGAGGCAUACGUUUUACAUUGGUUACAUUUCCUUGGCUUUUGUCGUCCUAAGUUAAAUGCUUAGGAUGACAAAGGCUGAAUUAUUUUUGUACUCUUGCGUAACCAACAGUAGUUCCCAAUAGAUAGCAUCCAAUUGCCUGGUGAUACUCAUUUACUAAAUGAUACUCAUUUAGUUUAUUGACGUAGUGACGUACAUUUAGUUUGGCUCUAUAUUCCGUACUCUGAAUGUUAUGUUAUUAACAGCUACGAUUGAAUUUGUAUAAUUUUGAUAUUGAAUAAUUAUUGAGAUUUUAUUGGAUUGACAUUAAGAUUGUUUUUGAGAAUAAUGCGCCCAGUGCAGUAUUAUUUUUAUUACUAAUUAAAUUGCAUUUACAUAAUAAUAUAAUAGUUAGUUAGUUUCAAUUAAUUAAGGGAAAAGGUUAAGUUAAGUUAAGAAGUGAAAGAUAAAAGAACAAAUAUAGCCAAAAAUAACACACACUUUUAUUUCAGACAUACAUCGACUUGGACGUAUUUUUAGUUGAAUUGUUUUAAUCAUCUUAACUAAAUGCAACUCAAAAGAAAUGUCAAUGUCAUUGCCGCGACCUUUUAUUAAAUUGAGGAUGUGAUUAGCCAAAACAAACUUUUAUUAGUUUUAUAAUACAUACAUAUACAUAUAAAGAAGAUAUAUGUACAUCACUAAUAUAUUCCAUAGAUGACAUAAUUUUUGCACGAGAUUGUAUAAAACGAGCUUAACAAGACGGUUAUAAUUAUUCAAUAAGUCAGAAGCGGGAUUCACAGUCAGUUGGAAACUAUUUCAAAAAUACUCGAAUAAAGUGUAAUAAUGUUGGCUUUGUUAAUUAUAUUCAUUUGGAUGAUAUUGAUCGGUACCUGGGUGUGGAUGACUGUUCAACAUUUCGUGCCACAGACGAAGCUUAAGGAAUUUUCAACAACGAACACAAGAGUACCUAAAGAUAUUGAAACCUGAUCCGUCGGGUUCCCUUCAUCUACCGAGCUCAUCAAUCGGACUACGGCCUAAAAACUACACCUAGUUAAGCAGAAAACAAUAUUAAAGUUUUAUAUACAUUUUGGUUCAUUGUUUUAUAUGAUAUGUUCGUUAUAUACAAUGUAAGUAUUGUCAAUAUUAAGCCCAUCUUCUGUCAAAAUCUAUACUAGUAUAUAAGUAUUGUAAUGAUUAUAUGUAUUACAUAUUUACAAA